CGGUGAAUACGUUCCCGGACCUUGUACACACCGCCCGUCAAGCCAUGGAAGCUGGGUGUACCUAAAGUCGAUAACCGCAAGGAGUCGCCUAGGGUAAAACUAGUAACUGGGCU
rnacentral:rRNA from 1 species